UAACGCGUAGGUAACCUGCCUUGUAGCGGGGGAGUAACUAUUGGAAACGAUAGCUAAUACCGCAUAACAAUGGGUGACUCAUGUCAUUUAUUUUGAAAAGGGGCAAAUGCUCCACUACAAGAUGGACCUGCGUUGUAUUAGCUAGUAGGUGAGGUAACGGCUCACCUAGGCGACGAUACAUAGCCGACCUGAGAGGGUGAUCGGCCACACUGGGACUGAGACACGGCCCAG
rnacentral:rRNA from 1 species